CCAUUUUCAUACGGCCAAGAUAUUUACAAUUUCAAAACAUAUUUUUUUAUCAACAGUCCAACCUAUACAUGCCAUAUCGAGUCAAAAAUAUAACUGUACCAAAAAGAUCGAUAGUAUGAAGAACUGCUGACGAUCCCCGAGUCGAUAGCCAAAAUCAACAAUCUAUAAAACAAAGAAAUAAGAAACAGAGUAAGCUUUCGAGGCUUAGUAAGUUUUAAGCAAUUCAUACUAUUAAGGCUUAUCAUUAAAAUUGAACAUUGAGUAUCACAAAAC
rnacentral:lncRNA from 1 species